AGGAUGAACGCUGGCGGCGUGCUUAACACAUGCAAGUCGAACGAUGAAGGCUGGAGCUUGCUCUGGCUGGAUUAGUGGCGAAACGGGUGAGUAACACGUGAGUAACCCUGCCCCAGACUCUGGGAUAAGCGCUGGAAACGGCGUCUAAUACCGGAUACGAGCUUCCACCGCAUGGUGAGGAGCUGGAAAGAAUUUCGGUCUGGGGAUGGACUCGCGGUCCUAUCAGCUUGUUGGUGAGGUAAUGGCUCACCAAGGCGACGGACGGGUAGCCGGCCUGAGAGGGUGACCCGGCCACGACGUGGGACCUGACGACCGACGGCCCAGACGUCCGUACGGGAGCAGGUCGAGGUGGGGAAUAGUUGACAACGAAGUCGGGCGACAAGCCUAGACUGCGAAGCAACGCCG
rnacentral:rRNA from 1 species